GACGAACGCUGGCGGCGUGCCUAACACAUGCAAGUGGAGCGACGAACCAGACUUCGGUCUGGGGCCAAGCCGCGAACGGGUGAGUAACACGUGGGUAACCUGCCCCGAUGAUCGGGACAACCCGGGGAAACCCGGGCUAAUACCGAAUGUGGUCGCGGUCCGUGAGGACUGUGACGAAAGGAAGCUUCGGCCUCCGCAUCGGGAUGGGCCCGCGGCCCAUUAGCUUGUUGGGGGGGUAAUGGCCUACCAAGGCAUCGAUGGGUAGCUGGUCUGAGAGGCCGAUCAGCCACACUGGGACUGAGACACGGCCCAGACUCCUACGGGAGGCAGCAGUGGCGAAGCUUGCGCAAUGCGCGAAAGCGUGACGCAGCAACGCCGCGUGGGGGAAGAAGGCUCUCGGGUCGUAAACCCCUUUCAGUUGGGACGAAGCUUCGCCGGUGAAUAGCCGGCCGGAGUGACGGUACCUUCACAAGAAGCCCCGGCUAACUACGUGCCAGCCGCCGCCGUAAUAC
rnacentral:rRNA from 1 species